UAGCAGUUGCGGCCUAGUUCAUACAGCUUGUAUACGUGUAUGGAUGGAUAGUGUGGGGAACAUUUAAGAUUAGCCGGUGAGGCGCUCAGGAUUGCCGCCAUCCGAGUCUCACCGGUUGGCUUGA
ncrna:Pseudomonas amygdali pv. tabaci str. 6605 RT-12 RNA